AUCGAACUCUUUCAGACAGAUAUCGCAACACUGAUUGCGCCAUAAGUACAGUAUUAGAGUAAAGGAGUCACUAUUUAAAGAAAGGGAUCAUUUAAAGCCGAAUCUGUGGAGCGAGGACUGCUAACCCGACUCUGUUAAUCUGUUACUAAGCCGAAUCUGUGGACUGAGUCGCUAACUGCACUCUGUCUUAUCUUGAAAGAGGAACUCCCAAUU
rnacentral:lncRNA from 1 species